UACGUAGGGACCGAGCGUUGUCCGGAAUCAUUGGGCGUAAAGAGCGUGUAGGCGGCUUGUUAAGUCUUGCGUGAAAUCUCGGGGCUCAACCCCGAGCGGUCGUGAGAAACUGGCAGGCUAGAGUGCGGGAGAGGAGAGUGGAAUUCCUGGUGUAGCGGUGAAAUGCGCAGAUAUCAGGAGGAACACCGGUGGCGAAGGCGGUUCUCUGGGCCUUACCUGACACUGAGGAGCGAAAGCGUGGGGAGCGAACGG
rnacentral:rRNA from 1 species